AGCGAACAUGCAUCCUUGGCAUGGAAAACAGCUCCCUGAUCUAGUAUUUCACAUGGUGAUGUCUCAUUACAAGUUAUAAAGUUCAAAGUGCUUGUAUUAACAUAUAAAGUCCUACGCAGCUUAAUACCUUAAUACUUACUAGCUUGCCUGCUCCCGAUAUAGCAGCCUAUAUACAUUAAGAUCAGGUGGCAACAUCCUUUUAACUGCACCACGCUUACUGAGUGUGCUAUUUGUGUGAGGGCAUUCUUCAUAGGGUAUCCCAGUUACGCAAUGCCAACCCUCACAGCUGCAGCCGCUGCUGACCAUAAUAGGUUUUAUGCUUCUUUUGAAGAUAUUUCUAUUUACUCGGGCAUUUGGACGAUUUAUUGGGAAGUGAUUUCACCUUCACUGAGCUGGAUUGUGACUUGAUUUAUAUUUAUUGUUUUUGUUUGUUUUAAGACUGCAUGAUGAUGAUGAUGAUGUAUUUGUGCUUUGGUGUUGUUCCCCUGUCUAAGAUUUAUUUUAAUGAAAAUAGGACCAAAAAAUGCCAUUAAUAAUAAUAACAUAGUAAUAAUAAUUUAUUAUUUAUACCUCACCCAUCUUGUAAAAUCAUUGCAGGAGAUCUUGGGGUCCUUACCAGGCCCCGAUGGUGCAGGUGGUUCCGUUAAAUUGCGAACAAUCUGAAAGAAUAUCCUGCUGCUGUUUUCUGCAGAUGCAAUAGAGGCGGUGAAGAAGGUCCUCUUCACCAUCGCUAUCACCACUUGGUAGGCUCGACGCUGAGCUCUAACCUGUGUCCGGUCAAAUUUAGAAUGAGUUUUCCUCCACCGGCGCUCUAGCCGUCUCAACGAGUGUUUCAUUGCCCUCAGCUCUGAGGAAGACCACUGGGCUGUCCAGGCUCCAUGCAGUUAGAGAGGGCGCUUCGGAGCCAGACAGUCGAUAGCCCUGGUUAACUCCACAUUCCAGCGGGCCACCAGGGAAUCAGCUGAAAGGCCAUCAACAUGGGAUAAAACGUCCCCUACCACUCUCUGGAAAUAAAAACUUAGAAAACUGUGUUCGCAUCAUGGGUGAAGAACUUACUUCAUUUUGCCUUAGAAUAUUACAUCUGCUACAAAGGGGCAUAUUUCCCCAUUUGAGCUUUCCCCCCUAUGUAUCUAGAUAUCUAGAUACAUAGAUAUCUAGAAUUGUUAAGGAAGCCUGUGAAUAGAGAUUGCAGUAAUAUUGAAUCUGUUAAGGUGCUAUGUACCUAAGCCAUAUUUAGAGCAGACCUACUGAAAUCAAUGCACUUAAGCCUUCCCCAAGUAUGACUAUUGCUGAAUAGCAACCUUAAUUCAUAACACUAUAGGCUGUAAUUUAGUGUGGGGCACAGAUUAAAUUACAUGGAAUUUGUACUUUCUGAAUUGAAAAGAGAGCAAUCAAAGCAAGAACCUGUCUCUUUUAAAGCAUUCAUGGGACAUAAUGAAUACUAGAAGACUGUCAAUAAGACAACACAGAUGCUACUUAAUGAGGCAGAAUCUCGGGGGGAAUCUUACUGAGCCUACAGUAAUCAAGCUGCCAUUAUUAACUUAUAAAAACACAGAGGCCUCUACCUCUAAUUCAACCUUAAUAAAAUCACCAUAGCAGCCUCGAGGAAUAAAAUUGCUCAAAAUAUUUAGUUGAUAAUAUAGAUCACUAAUUCCCAAAGGUUCGGGGUAAGUAAAAAUAAAAUGAAAUUAAAAAACAAACAUAAAACUAUUCCAUUAAAAUUGCAAUUAAGCUGCAAAUUUAAAAUCUCAGAAAAUGUGAGCUCUUCUCUCCCCAACAUGUUGGUUCAGACUCUCAGGCUUCAAAAGCCAGUCUUAAUGAACAGAGUCUCCCAGGGUUCCGAACAAAGCUUAAGACUUGGGACAUGCAUUUCCAACACUGGUUGACAUCUGGAAGAACGAUUCACUACAGACAAUUUUAUCAUCCCUUCAUGUCAAUUCAAAAACUGAUACUUAAAUGGAGAUAAAAAGGUAAAGGUGAAGGGACCCCUGACCUUUAGGUCCAGUCGUGACUGACUCUGGGGUUGCGGCGCUCAUCAAAUGUUGAUCAAGGUGGCUGGGGCAAACUAGUCAGAUGGGCAGGGUAUAAAUAGUAAAAAUUAUUAUUAUUAAUAUUAUUAUUAUUAUUAAUGUCCCUAUUUUCAUCAGAGAAAUUUUGGAGGGUAUGUAAAUGUGAGAUGUACAGGGAGCGGGCAGGUGGUACAACUACCAGCUUCUAGCAGAUAUAAGAAGUGGAACUAGGAAUCUGCAAGUAAUCUUCCAAACUAUACUAAAGGGACAGUUUCAAGCUCUGUACCUUCUUAGUCCCAUGAAAUCAAUGGAAUCCUCUGGUUGUUGGCUGCCUCUUAGCAAACGCCAUCAAGUUUAGUAACAGUUGGUGGGCACUUGGGUGGCACAAGGAAGGAAACAGGCAGCUAAACCAAGCCUGCUGCCAUCAGUUGUGCCAUGCUAUUGGCACUCUGUGCUGAAAAACAACCGCCUUCUUAAUAGCAAGUUUAGAUAUAAGAAAAGCAACAAAGCAAAGCUCCAGAGCUCACAGAUCUCACCAAGGGAGAAAUCAUGAUCUCUCCACAAAUUGCCGCAAAACUACAAUACACCCACUUUCCCAAUUUACCUAAUGUCUGAACUGCUUCUCAGCAAAGCAAGACUUUCUUUCAGGAUGCUUUGUUCUAGUUCUACAUCCUUAGAAGAUGCCUGCUUUGAUGUAAGGUUGCCAAAUCUUCGUCCACAGAGAUUAUCCCUGGCAUUUUAAACCAGGGGUGGCGGACCUGUGAACCUCUAAAUACUCUGGACUCCAGUGCCCAUCAGCUCCAGCCAACAUAGCCAGUGGUGAGGAAUGAUGGAAGUUAAGAGUCCAACGACAUCUGGAAGGCUACAGGUGAGACAUCCCAGAGCAUGUCCUCCAGAUAGACUACGGAGAUUAUUCUGCCCCACCUACUUUCCUCUCACAUCUGCCAUGUGUAAACAACAACAGCAGCCUAGAAUCCUGCUCAUUACUACAAGGGGAAUGUAAGCAAAGAGGCUGGCAGAGGAACAGGGGAGGGAGUACAGUAUUAACAUCCUCUCUUGGUGCUUUUGAUUUUAUUGAAAUAGACCAAAGGAUAAAAAGCUGUAAAAUGAACCAAACAUAUAAUUGUGGGGUUUUAUUGGUG